AAGUCGUAACAAGGUUUCCGUAGGUGACCUGCGGAGGAUCAUUG
rnacentral:rRNA from 1 species